CCUACGGGCGGCAGCAGUGGGGAAUAUUGGACAAUGGGGGCAACCCUGAUCCAGCCAUGCCGCGUGUGUGAAGAAGGCCCUCGGGUUGUAAAGCACUUUCAGUGAGGAAGAACGCCUGGUGGUUAAUACCCAUCAGGAAAGACAUCACUCACAGAAGAAGCACCGGCUAACUCCGUGCCAGCAGCCGCGGUAAUACGGAGGGUGCGAGCGUUAAUCGGAAUUACUGGGCGUAAAGCGCGCGUAGGUGGCUUGAUAAGCCGGUUGUGAAAGCCCCGGGCUCAACCUGGGAACGGCAUCCGGAACUGGCAGGCUAGAGUGCAGGAGAGGAAGGUAGAAUUCCCAGUGUAGCGGUGAAAUGCGUAGAGAUCGGGAGGAAUACCAGUGGCGAAGGCGGCCUUCUGGACUGACACUGACACUGAGGUGCGAAAGCGUGGGUAGCAAACAGGAUUAGAUACCCUAGUAGUC
rnacentral:rRNA from 1 species